UAUUGUGAGCUCGAUGAGUAGGGCGGGACACGUGGUAUCCUGUCUGAAUAUGGGGGGACCAUCCUCCAAGGCUAAAUACUCCUGACUGACCGAUAGUGAACCAGUACCGUGAGGGAAAGGCGAAAAGAACCCCGGCGAGGGGAGUGAAAAAGAACCUGAAACCGUGUACGUACAAGCAGUGGGAGCACGCUUAGGCGUGUGACUGCGUACCUUUUGUAUAAUGGGUCAGCGACUUAUAUUCUGUAGCAAGGUUAACCGAAUAGGGGAGCCGAAGGGAAACCGAGUCUUAACUGGGCGUUAAGUUGCAGGGUAUAGACCCGAAACCCGGUGAUCUAGCCAUGGGCAGGUUGAAGGUUGGGUAACACUAACUGGAGGACCGAACCGACUAAUGUUGAAAAAUUAGCGGAUGACUUGUGGCUGGGGGUGAAAGGCCAAUCAAACCGGGAGAUAGCUGGUUCUCCCCGAAAGCUAUUUAGGUAGCGCCUCGUGAAUUCAUCUCCGGGGGUAGAGCACUGUUUCGGCAAGGGGGUCAUCCCGACUUACCAACCCGAUGCAAACUGCGAAUACCGGAGAAUGUUAUCACGGGAGACACACGGCGGGUGCUAACGUCCGUCGUGAAGAGGGAAACAACCCAGACCGCCAGCUAAGGUCCCAAAGUCAUGGUUAAGUGGGAAACGAUGUGGGAAGGCCCAGACAGCCAGGAUGUUGGCUUAGAAGCAGCCAUCAUUUAAAGAAAGCGUAAUAGCUCACUGGUCGAGUCGGCCUGCGCGGAAGAUGUAACGGGGCUAAAC
rnacentral:rRNA from 1 species